ACGAAUAAAUACUAACAAAGUAGUAAAUAUUACAGGAUUUACAUUAAAGAGGAGAAAUAAUGGAACAGGCAGAGGGAAUAUUUCAUCAUCAUUGAAGGAUGCCUUUCCUUUACUGUAACUCAAACCAUCGGUGCUUGGUGCUUCUUGACGCUGCGCGACUACCUCUACCGCAAAUCAUCUCCUUUCCCUUUUGAAUCGAUCUACUAUUGGUAAUAAUGAAUAUAAAGAGAAAGGAAGAGAUAUGUUAGAGACAUGGACAUGAGUUUUCUUAUUUUAAGUUACUAAAAGUCUGUUUUACAAGAAAUCAAGCUAAUGACAAAUGCAUUAAGAAUAUUUGAAGAGCUGCAAAUACUGGUUGGGGUGAGAAGGACAAUUCAAAAUGGGAUAAAAUUUAAAACCCUUAUAAGAAGUAUAUUGAUUUAAAUAUCCAUGGUCCUGUUGCUAAGAUCCCUGGAAACCUCUAUCUUUUUAUCUAUGAAUUUGGCAUUUAGUUUUAGAAUUUAUAGGUUCAACCAAUGUAAAACAAACUUUCUGUAAUGAUUAGAUUAGAAAAACAAUUGAUUUAACCAAUUAAUCAAUGUGUUCAGUUAUCGAUUGUUGGAA